UCUUGGUCAUUUAGAGGAAGUAAAAGUCGUAACAAGGUCUCCGUUGGUGAACCAGCGGAGGGAUCAUUAUCGAGUUACAAACUCCCAAACCCUUCUGUGAACCUUCUGAACGUUGCCUCGGCGGGCUCGCCCGCCGAUGGCCCACGCAACAAACCAUCACCAGACGUACCUCUGAGUGGACAAUAUUACAAAUAAGUCAAAACUUUCAGCAACGGAUCUCUUGGCUCUGGCAUCGAUGAAGAACGCAGCGAAAUGCGAUACGUAAUGUGAAUUGCAGAAUUCAGCGAAUCAUCGAAUCUUUGAACGCACAUUGCGCCUGCCGGUAUUCCGGCGGGCAUGCCUGUCCGAGCGUCAUUAAAAACCCCUCGGGCCACACCUCUUGCGGGGUAGGCCCGGCGUUGGGGCACCGGCGGACCUCGCGGUCUCCCGGGCCCUCAAAUUCAGCGGCGGACGCCUCCACCGAGCCUCCCAGCGCAGUAACUCACUCGCUGACGGAGAGCCAGCGGAGCGCCCCGCCUCGAAGACACUCACGAGUUGACCUCGGAUCAGGAAGACCCCCAGUUCUU
rnacentral:rRNA from 1 species